GACGAACGCUGGCGGCGUGCUUAACACAUGCAAGUCGAACGGAAAGGCCCUGCUUUUGUGGGGUGCUCGAGUGGCGAACGGGUGAGUAACACGUGAGUAACCUGCCCUUGACUUUGGGAUAACUUCAGGAAACUGGGGCUAAUACCGGAUAGGAGCUCCUGCUGCAUGGUGGGGGUUGGAAAGUUUCGGCGGUUGGGGAUGGACUCGCGGCUUAUCAGCUUGUUGGUGGGGUAGUGGCUUACCAAGGCUUUGACGGGUAGCCGGCCUGAGAGGGUGACCGGCCACAUUGGGACUGCGAUACGGCGCAGACUCCUACGGGAGGCAGCAGUCGGGAAUAUUGCACAAUGGGCGGAAGCCUGAUGCAGCAACGCCGCGUGCGGGAUGACGGCCUUCGGGUUGUAAACCGCUUUCGCCUGUGACGAAGCGUGAGUGACGGUAAUGGGUAAAGAAGCACCGGCUAACUACGUG
rnacentral:rRNA from 1 species